rnacentral:lncRNA from 10 species
GCUAUCUUGCCCUAGAAAGGGAACUCGGAGGGGACUCACUGACGAAAGGAGCUCCAGAUGGCGGGGGGCCAACCUGGGGCGACCCCCAGCGCCCACUUUCACCAUCUGGACCCCAGCAAACCUCCCUGUGGCCCUUGGUCCCGUCUUCAGCAGCUCCUUCUGGGGUCCCACACCUUCGGAGCCCGGCCCUGCCCCUGAGUCUCUGGAGAGAGCGAGUCAGCAGUUCGCCGCCGCGGGGCUCCCGUUUGCCUAGCACGCCAGUUUCUGUCCAGUUUCACCCCAAAUCCCCACCUCCCCCCACCCCCGAACCUCACGGCCACCCUGGGAAGGAGGCUUGACUUGUGACAUCCACCCCUCUUCACGGCUGAGGAACUUUGGCCCCGAGCGAGGAAGCGACCGGCCCACGGCCACACGCCCGGAGUGGGUAAAUAUCUACUCAUGGGAUUGCUGGGCUGUAUGGGGGCAGCAUCUUCUACUAUGUGCAUCUACAUUGGAUGGCAGUGGAGCAACACAGAUUGUUUUCUGACAAAAAUCAGCCAAGUACUAGGAGAGGCAGGACUUUAGAAGUGGAGGAGAUGGAGAAGGAAGCUUAGGUUACUAUGGAGUGUGCAAAAAGGUCCUGUGGAUUUAGAUACCACCACACACAAAUGCUGUUGUUGGAAGGUACCUGCCCAGAUAAGGACUGCAUUUCCUCUAGCAUCCAGAUGGGACCAAAUGACUGCUGGCCAAUAGAAGUGAGUGGAAAGGACUGACUCCAGUUCCAGGUUGGGCCUCCAACUGCUCUGGGCACGUCGAUGGAACAGAACACCACCUCCACCCCAAUACCACCAAUUCAACUUUACAUGAAUUAUAA